GUGAGGAAUUUUCCGCAAUGGGCGAAAGCCUGACGGAGCAAUGCCGCGUGAAGGAUGAAGGCCUAUGGGUUGUAAACUUCUUUUCUCAGAAAAGAAUUAUGACGGUAUCUGAGGAAUAAGCAUCGGCUAACUCUGUGCCAGCAGCCGCGGUAAGACAGAGGAUGCAAGCGUUAUCCGGAAUGAUUGGGCGUAAAGCGUAUGUAGGUUGUUUAAAAAGUAUUCUGUCAAAGAUUAGGGCUUAACCCUAGAUAGGCAGAAUAAACUUUUAAGCUAGAGUUUGGUAGAGGCAGAGGGAAUUCCCGGUGGAGCGGUGAAAUGCGUAGAUAUCGGGAGGAACACCAAAGGCGAAGGCACUCUGCUGGGCCAAUACUAACACUGAGAGACGAAAGCGAGGGGAGCAAAUGGGAUUAGAAACCCGGGUAGUCC
rnacentral:rRNA from 1 species